rnacentral:rRNA from 1 species
CCUACGGGUGACAGCAGUGAGGAAUAUUGGUCCAUGGACGGAAGUCUGAACCAGCCAUGCCGCGUGCAGGAAGACGGCUCUAUUAGUUGUAAACUGCUUUUGUACAAGGGUAAACCUGAAUACGUGUAUUCAGCUGCAAGUACUUUACGAAUAAGGAUAGGCUAACACCGUGCCAGCAGCCGCAGUAAUACAGAGGAUCCAAGCGUUAUCAGGAUUUAUUGGGUUUAAAGGGUGCGUAGGCGGAUUGAUAAGUUAGUGGUGAAAUGUCCGGGCUUAACUCGGGAACUGCCUCUAAUACUGUUGAUCGAGAGAGUAGAUGCGGUAGGCAGAAGGUAUGGUGUAGCGGUGAAAUGCUUAGAGAUCAGACAGAACACCGAUUGCGAAGGCAGCUUACCAAUCUAUAUCUGACGUUGAGGCACGAAAGCGUGGGGAGCAAACAGGAUUAGAUACCCGGGUAGUC